rnacentral:rRNA from 1 species
ACUCCUACGGGAGGCAGCAGUGGGGAAUAUUGCACAAUGGGCGCAAGCCUGAUGCAGCCAUGCCGCGUGUAUGAAGAAGGCCUUCGGGUUGUAAAGUACUUUCAGCAGUGAGGAAGGUGGGUAUGUUAAUAGCAUACUCAUUUGACGUUAGCUGCAGAAGAAGCACCGGCUAACUCCGUGCCAGCAGCCGCGGUAAUACGGAGGGUGCGAGCGUUAAUCGGAAUUACUGGGCGUAAAGCGCAUGCAGGUGGUUUGUUAAGUCAGAUGUGAAAGCCCGGGGCUCAACCUCGGAAUUGCAUUUGAAACUGGCAAACUAGAGUACUGUAGAGGGGGGUAGAAUUUCAGGUGUAGCGGUGAAAUGCGUAGAGAUCUGAAGGAUACCGGUGGCGAAGGCGGCCCCCUGGACAGAUACUGACACUCAGAUAGCGAAAGCGUGGGGAGCAAACAGGAUUAGAUACCCUGGUAGGCUCU